rnacentral:rRNA from 1 species
GACGAACGCUGGCGGCGUGCUUAACACAUGCAAGUCGAACGGAAAGGCCCUGCUUUUGUGGGGUGCUCGAGUGGCGAACGGGUGAGUAACACGUGAGUAACCUGCACUUGACUUUGGGAUAACUUCAGGAAACUGGGGCUAAUACCGGAUAGGAGCUCCUGCUGCAUGGUGGGGGUUGGAAAGUUUCGGCGGUUGGGGAUGGACUCGCGGCUUAUCAGCUUGUUGGUGGGGUAGUGGCUUACCAAGGCUUUGACGGGUGGCCGGCCUGAGAGGGUGACCGGCCACAUUGGGACUGAGAUACGGCCCAGACUCCUACGGGAGGCAGCAGUGGGGAAUAUUGCACAAUGGGCGGAAGCCUGAUGCAGCAACGCCGCGUGCGGGAUGACGGCCUUCGGGUUGUAAACCGCUUUCGCCUGUGACGAAGCGUGAGUGACGGUAAUGGGUAAAGAAGCACCGGCUAACUACGUG